UACGUAGGGCGCAAGCGUUAUCCGGAAUUAUUGGGCGUAAAGAGCUCGUAGGCGGUUUGUCGCGUCUGCUGUGAAAGACCGGGGCUCAACUCCGGUUCUGCAGUGGGUACGGGCAGACUAGAGUGCAGUAGGGGACACUGGAAUUCCUGGUGUAGCGGUGAAAUGCGCAGAUAUCAGGAGGAACACCGAUGGCGAAGGCAGGUCUCUGGGCUGUAACUGACGCUGAGGAGCGAAAGCAUGGGGAGCGAACAGG
rnacentral:rRNA from 1 species